rnacentral:rRNA from 1 species
AGCGAACGCUGGCGGCAGGCUUAACACAUGCAAGUCGAGCGGGCAUAGCAAUAUGUCAGCGGCAGACGGGUGAGUAACGCGUGGGAACGUACCUUUUGGUUCGGAACAACACAGGGAAACUUGUGCUAAUACCGGAUAAGCCCUUACGGGGGAAGAUUUAUCGCCGAAAGAUCGGCCCGCGUCUGAUUAGCUAGUUGGUGAGGUAAUGGCUCACCAAGGCGACGAUCAGUAGCUGGUCUGAGAGGAUGAUCAGCCACAUUGGGACUGAGACACGGCCCAAACUCCUACGGGAGGCAGCAGUGGGGAAUAUUGGACAAUGGGCGCAAGCCUGAUCCAGCCAUGCCGCGUGAGUGAUGAAGGCCCUAGGGUUGUAAAGCUCUUUUGUGCGGGAAGAUAAUGACGGUACCGCAAGAAUAAGCCCCGGCUAACUUCGUGCCAGCAGCCGCAGUAA